GUAUAGCUCAGUGGUAGAGUGUGUGCUUUGCAUGCAUGAGGUCCUGGGUUCAAUCCCCAGUAC
rnacentral:tRNA from 1 species